GGAAGUAAAAGCGUAACAAGGUCUCCGUUGGUGAACCAGCGGAGGGAUCAUUACAGAGUUUUCACAACUCCCAACCCUUGCGAACCGUACCCAUUCUGUUCUCGUUGCUUCCGGCGGGGGGGACGGGGGGGCCCGAAACGGCCUCCCCGCCCCGCCCGCCGGGGGCGGCGGGCCCUACGAACCUUUAUAUCUCAACCACCAGAAACCGUCUGAGAAAACAAACAAGAUAAUCAAAACUUUCAACAACGGAUCUCUUGGCUCUG
rnacentral:misc_RNA from 1 species